AACGAACGCUGGCGGCAUGCCUUACACAUGCAAGUCGAACGGCAGCACGGGGCACCCUGGUGGCGAGUGGCGAACGGGUGAGUAAUGCAUCGGAACGUACCUUUCAGUGGGGGAUAACGUAGCGAAAGUUACGCUAAUACCGCAUAUUCUGUGAGCAGGAAAGCAGGGGAUCGCAAGACCUUGCGCUGAUUGAGCGGCCGAUGUCAGAUUAGCUAGUUGGUGAGGUAAAGGCUCACCAAGGCGACGAUCUGUAGCGGGUCUGAGAGGAUGAUCCGCCACACUGGAACUGUGAAACGGUCCAGACUCCUACGGGAGGCAGCAGUGGGGAAUUUUGGACAAUGGGGGCAACCCUGAUCCAGCCAUGCCGCGUGAGUGAAGAAGGCCUUCGGGUUGUAAAGCUCUUUCGGCCGGGAAGAAAUCGCACGGGCUAAUACCCUGUGUGGAUGACGGUACCGGAAUAAGAAGCACCGGCUAACUACGUGCCAGCCGCCGCAGUAA
rnacentral:rRNA from 1 species